rnacentral:lncRNA from 1 species
UCAGAAGUCCUUCAGUUCUCUUUCUGUGUUAGCUUAUCCUUCAGGAAGCUGGCUGUUUAAAAACUCCCUUUUUGUGUCUUUUAUUAGUAAACGUUAGAGUAAAAACCUGCAUUGGCCCAUCUCAGUCCUUCCCAGCUGGAAGCACUGUGGUUCUGCAAGAAGACAGCAGAGCUGGCAGGGAAAGAGGUUGGAACAGAAAAUGAGCUGAAACGUAAAGACAGAUAAAGGGUGCAUUUUGGCUAAGACCUCCUCCUACCAGCCUGUUAUAGAGGAUAGGUCAGAGAAGCAGUGGCCUCUCCCCCAAAGGGAUGUGUGCCACAGAAGGAGUAUUUCAGGUGGUGAAACCUGCCCCUGGCAGUCUCCAAGGGCAAAGUGUUUAGAGAGGAGAGGAGAAAAGGGAGAAGGCCAUCUCUCUUUCAAACAGCCAGAGAAACUCUCUCCUAAAGUCGUCUGCUAGAUGUUUCUCUUUAGGGGGAGGGAUCCAAAGCUUUUAUUCUGGUUUGGUGAUUGUAACAGUGUGCUCUUGUAGGAAGAAUACAAAUUUCACUUUAAUAUACUGUUGUUUUGAGUUCUUGAGUUCUUUCUGUAUGUGAGUUCUUGCCUUCG